AAAAAUUCUUUGCUAAGGCCAAAGUCAGGAAGGGUAUUUCCUAGGUUUUCUUCAAGAAUUUUUACAGUUUGAAGUCUUACAUGUAAAUCUUUAGUCUACCUUGAGCUAUUUUUGUGUAUGAUGAAACGUAAGGGUCCGGUUUUACUCUUCCGCAUAUGGCUAACCAGUUUUCCCAGCACCAUUUACUGAAUAGGGAGUCCUUUCCCCAUUGCCUAUUUUUGUCAGCCUUGUCAAAGAUUGUAUAGUUGUAGGUAUGAUGUGUAGCCCCCGAUGCU